rnacentral:misc_RNA from 1 species
AACGGUCUAUACCUGCGGUACCUGCGGAGGGAUCAUUAUCAAUUUACAGCGGACUUCGGUCCUGUCUGCACCCUUGUCUUUUGCGUACUAUAUGUUUCCUCGGUGGGCUUGCCUGCCGAUAGGACACUUAUAAACUCUUUUGUAAUUGCAAUCAGCGUCAGAAAACUAUAAUAGUUACAACUUUUAACAAUGGAUCUCU